rnacentral:rRNA from 1 species
AUUGAACGUUGGCGGCAGGCCUAACACAUGCAAGUCGAACGAGUGGCGGACGGGUGAGUAAUGUCUGGGAAACUGCCCGACGGAGGGGGAUAACUACUGGAAACGGUAGCUAAUACCGCAUACCAUCGGAUGUGCCCAGAUGGGAUUAGAUAGUAGGUGGGGUAACGGCUCACCUAGGCGACGAUCCCUAGCUGGUCUGAGGGGAAGACCAGCCACGCUAGAACAGAGACACGGUCCAGACUCCUACGGGAGGCAGCAGUGGGGAAUGUUGCACAAUUGGCGCAAGCCUGAUGCAGCCAUACCGCGUGUAUGGAGAAGGCCUUCAGGUUGUAAAGUACUUUCAGCGAGGAGGCGUUAGUCGCAGAAGAAGCGCCGGCUAACUCCGUGCCAGCAGCCGCGGUAAUAC